UGAACGCUAGCUACAGGCUUAACACAUGCAAGUCGAGGGGCAGCACAGAGAUAGCUUGCUAUCUUGGGUGGCGACCGGCGCACGGGUGAGUAACGCGUAUCCAACCUGCCCAUUACUCAGGGAUAGCCUUGCGAAAGUAAGAUUAAUACCUGAUGUUGUUAAAAACCCGCAUGAGUUUUUAACCAAAGAUUUAUUGGUAAUGGAUGGGGAUGCGUGACAUUAGGUAGUAGGUGAGGUAACGGCUCACCUAGCCGACGAUGUCUAGGGGUUCUGAGAGGAAGGUCCCCCACACUGGAACUGAGACACGGACCAGACUCCUACGGGAGGCAGCAGUGAGGAAUAUUGGUCAAUGGACGCAAGUCUGAACCAGCCAUGCCGCGUGCAGGAUGACGGCUCUAUGAGUUGUAAACUGCUUUUGUACAAGGGUAAACCCCGAUACGUGUAUCGGGCUGAAAGUACUGUACGAAUAAGGAUCGGCUAACUCCGUG
rnacentral:rRNA from 1 species